rnacentral:rRNA from 1 species
AACGAACGCUGGCGGCAGGCCUAACACAUGCAAGUCGAGCGAGGACUUCGGUCCUAGCGGCGGACGGGUGAGUAACGCGUGGGAACGUGCCCUUUGCUUCGGAAUAGCCCUGGGAAACUGGGAGUAAUACCGGAUGAGCCCUUUGGGGGAAAGAUUUAUCGGCGAAGGAUCGGCCCGCGUUGGAUUAGGUAGUUGGUGGGGUAAUGGCCUACCAAGCCGACGAUCCAUAGCUGGUUUGAGAGGAUGAUCAGCCACACUGGGACUGAGACACGGCCCAGACUCCUACGGGAGGCAGGAGUGGGGAAUCUUAGACAAUGGGGGAAACCCUGAUCGAGCCAUGCCGCGUGAGCGAUGAAGGCCUUAGGGUUGUAAAGCUCUUUAAGCUGGGAAGAUAAUGACGGUACCAGCAGAAGAAGCCCCGGCUAACUCCGUG